rnacentral:rRNA from 1 species
AGUGAACGCUGGCGGUAGGCCUAACACAUGCAAGUCGAACGGCAGCACAGUAAGAGCUUGCUCUUACGGGUGGCGAGUGGCGGACGGGUGAGGAGUACAUCGGAAUCUACUUUUUCGUGGGGGAUAACGUAGGGAAACUUACGCUAAUACCGCAUACGACCUACGGGUGAAAGCAGGGGAUCUUCGGACCUUGCGCGAUUGAAUGAGCCGAUGUCGGAUUAGCUAGUUGGCGGGGUAAAGGCCCACCAAGGCGACGAUCCGUAGCUGGUCUGAGAGGAUGAUCAGCCAAACUGGAACUGAGACACGGUCCAGACUCCAACGGGAGGCAGCAGUGGGGAAUAUUGGAAAAGGGGCGAAAGCCUGAUCCAGCCAUACCGCGUGGGUGAAGAAGGCCUUCGGGUUGUAAAGCCCUUUUGUUGGGAAAGAAAAGCAGCAGGUUAAUACCCCGCUGUUCUGACGGUACCCAAAGAAUAAGCACCGGCGAACUUCGU